AAAUAGAGACGAAUUAGGAACUGACACCUAGCUUUCUCUUAAACAAAGAUGUAGACUGCACCACAGGGGAUAAUUUUCCAUUUUAAUCCGAACAGCACCUCUGCCCCCCAUUCUCUCUCUCUCUCUCUCUCUCUCUCUCACUGAAAAGCCAUCUGAUUCUCUCACCGUAAACCCUCUCAUUCUCUCAUACUGAAGCAUCACGAUUCACGAAUCAAUACUGAAAAAACAUAUUGUUUGAAGGAUUUUUCAGCCCCAGUUUCGGUUUUCAAGUGGGUUUUGGUUUGGCUUCGAUUUACCAUUGUUCGCACAUUUGGCACAGUCAACACCAUGAGCGAUGGACAAUCAAUGCUAAGAGUCGAGCUAUACUUGAAAUACCAGUUUGAAGGUUGAAGGUCAUACAAAGAACAAUUGCCCAUCGAUCGGGGAUCUUGGAAAUAUCAAUGACAACAUAUCACAACGAGUUGAUAUUGAAGAACGUUUCACAUCCGGUGACUUUGGAGCUACAAGUAACCAAGCCCAAGCAAGAAGAGCUGCUAAUGAACGUGACCAAUAAUCUGAUUUAUUUGUAGUAGAGAGGUCUUCUGCCAGUGUUUGAAGUUGUAUGGACUUUAUAUUCGCCAAACAUCUUGUUAAAUGAUGGUUCACUUGAAAGUAGAGAUUAUGAUUUGCAUAAGAAACCCAUAUUAAUAGAUAAUUUUUGCCAGGUUCUUA